rnacentral:rRNA from 1 species
UACGUAGGGGGCAAGCGUUGUCCGGAAUCAUUGGGCGUAAAGCGCGUGUAGGCGGCCCGGUAAGUCCGCUGUGAAAGUCGGGGGCUCAACCCUCGGAUGCCGGUGGAUACUGUCGGGCUAGAGUGCGGGAGAGGCGAGUGGAAUUCCUGGUGUAGCGGUGAAAUGCGCAGAUAUCAGGAGGAACACCAAUUGCGAAGGCAGCUCGCUGGGACGGUACUGACGCUGAGACGCGAAAGCGUGGGGAGCAAACAGG